GCAUUAGUAGUUCGGUGGUAGAAUUCCUGCCUUCCAUGCGGGAGACCUCGGUUCAAUUCCUGCCCAACGCA
rnacentral:tRNA from 1 species